GACGAACGCUGGCGGCGUGCUUAACACAUGCAAGUCGAACGGAAAGGCCUCUUUCGGGGGGUACUCGCGUGGCGAACGGGUGAGUAACACGUGAGUAACCUGCCCUUGACUUUGGGAUAACUUCAGGAAACUGGGGCUAAUACCGGAUAGGAGCUCCUGCUGCAUGGUGGGGGUUGGAAAGUUUCGGCGGUUGGGGAUGGACUCGCGGCUUAUCAGCUUGUUGGUGGGGUAGUGGCUUACCAAGGCUUUGACGGGUAGCCGGCCUGAGAGGGUGACCGGCCACAUUGGGACUGAGAUACGGCCCAGACUCCUACGGGAGGCAGAAGUGGGGAAUAUUGAACAAUGGGUGGAAGCCUGAUGCAGCAAAGCCGUGGGCGGGAUGACGGCCUUCGGGUUGUAAAACGCUUUCGCUCAUGACGAAGCUUUGUGUGACGGUAGUGGGUAAAGAAGCACCGGCUAACUACGUG
rnacentral:rRNA from 1 species